rnacentral:rRNA from 1 species
UUGCUUCUCUUGAGAGCGGCGGACGGGUGAGUAAUGCCUAGGAAUCUGCCUGGUAGUGGGGGAUAACGUUCGGAAACGGACGCUAAUACCGCAUACGUCCUACGGGAGAAAGCAGGGGACCUUCGGGCCUUGCGCUAUCAGAUGAGCCUAGGUCGGAUUAGCUAGUUGGUGGGGUAAUGGCUCACCAAGGCGACGAUCCGUAACUGGUCUGAGAGGAUGAUCAGUCACACUGGAACUGAGACACGGUCCAGACUCCUACGGGAGGCAGCAGUGGGGAAUAUUGGACAAUGGGCGAAAGCCUGAUCCAGCCAUGCCGCGUGUGUGAAGAAGGUCUUCGGAUUGUAAAGCACUUUAAGUUGGGAGGAAGGGUUGUAGAUUAAUACUCUGCAAUUUUGACGUUACCGACAGAAUAAGCACCGGCUAACUCUGUGCCAGCAGCCGCGGUAAUACAGAGGGUGCAAGCGUUAAUCGGAAUUACUGGGCGUAAAGCGCGCGUAGGUGGUUUGUUAAGUUGGAUGUGAAAUCCCCGGGCUCAACCUGGGAACUGCAUUCAAAACUGACUGACUAGAGUAUGGUAGAGGGUGGUGGAAUUUCCUGUGUAGCGGUGAAAUGCGUAGAUAUAGGAAGGAACACCAGUGGUGAAGGCGACCACCUGGACUAAUACUGACACUG